GACGAACGCUGGCGGCGUGCUUAACACAUGCAAGUCGAACGGAAAGGCCCUGCUUUUGUGGGGUGCUCGAGUGGCGAACGGGUGAGUAACACGCGAGUAACCUGCCCUUGACUUUGGGAUAACUUCAGGAAACUGGGGCUAAUACCGGAUAGGAGCUCCUGCUGCAUGGUGGGGGUUGGAAAGUUUCGGCGGUUGGGGAUGGACUCGCGGCUUAUCAGCUUGUUGGUGGGGUAGUGGCUUACCAAGGCUUUGACGGGUAGCCGGCCUGAGAGGGGGACCGGCCACAUGGGGACUGAGAUACGGAGCAGACUCCUACGGGAGGCAGCAGGGGGGAGUAUUGCAGAAUGGGCGGAAGCCUGAUGCAGCAGCGCCGCGUGCGGGAUGACGGCCUUCGAGUUGUAAACCGCUUUCGCCUGUGACGAAGCGUGAUUGACGGUAAUGGGUAAAGAAGCACCGGCUAACUACGUG
rnacentral:rRNA from 1 species